rnacentral:misc_RNA from 1 species
GAUGAAGAACGUAGCGAAAUGCGAUAAGUAAUGUGAAUUGCAGAAUUCAGUGAAUCAUCGAAUCUUUGAACGCACAUUGCGCCCGCCAGUAUUCUGGCGGGCAUGCCUGUCCGAGCGUCAUUUCAACCCUCGAACCCCUCCGGGGGGUCGGCGUUGGGGAUCGGCCCCUCACCGGGCCGCCCCCGAAAUCCAGUGGCGGUCUCGCCGCAGCCUCUCCUGCGCAGUAGUUUGCACACUCGCACCGGGAGCGCGGCGCGGCAACAGCCGUAAAACACCCCAAACUCUGAAAUGUUGACCUCGGAUCAGGUAGGAAUACCCGCUGAACUUAAGCAUAUCAAUAAGCGGAGGA